CAGCGUCACGAGUGGCAACCAUUUUUAUUGGGCCUAAAGCGUCCGUAGCCGGUUCUGUAAAUCUUUUGUGAAAUUGUUGGGCUCAACCUAACAACGUGCAGAAGACACUGCUGAACUAGAGACCGGGAGGAGUCAGAGGUAUUCUGGGGGGAGCGGUAAAAUGCUUUAAUCCUCAGCAGACCACCUGUGGCGAAGGCGUCUGACCAGAACGGAUCUGACGGUGAGGGACGAAAGCUAGGGUAGCGAUCCGGAUUAGAUACCCGAGUAGUCC
rnacentral:rRNA from 1 species